CAGUGGGACAAAUGUCUGGACACAGCGUCCAAACAGAACUUUAAGAUCCUCCAUAAGUACGUGGCUCUUUACGCGACUCAUCUCAUCAAAGAAGGAGAAGCUGUGAAAGCUCUGCAGCUCUACGUUCAGCACGGAGCUCCGCCGAACCCUCAGAACUUUAACAUCUACAAGCGUUUGUUCCUGGAUCUGAUGAACCUCUCCGACACCGACGGGCCCGAGUCUUACCG